rnacentral:tRNA from 1 species
GUAGUCGUGGCCGAGUGUUUAAGAUGAUGGACUUGAAAUCCAUUGGGGUCUCCGCGCACAGGUUCGAAUCCAGCCGACUACG